AUUCUGUUAGUGUCACACACGUAAGGUUUUGAACUUUAAAAUAUAAAUUAUUUAUACAGACUA
rnacentral:tRNA from 1 species